rnacentral:rRNA from 1 species
UACGAAGGGGGCUAGCGUUGUCCGGAAUCACUGGGCGUAAAGGGCGCGUAGGCGGCUCAUGAAGGCUGUGGUGAAAGUCCGGGGCUCAACCUCGGAUCGGCCGUGGCGACUCGUGGGCUGGAGCACUGUAGAGGCAGGCGGAAUUCCGGGUGUAGCGGUGGAAUGCGUAGAGAUCCGGAAGAACACCGGUGGCGAAGGCGGCCUGCUGGGCAGUGGCUGACACUGAGGCGCGACGAGCGUGGGGAGCAAACAGG